rnacentral:rRNA from 1 species
UGUCGUCAGCUCGUGUCGUGAGAUGUUGGGUUAAGUCCGUAACGAGCGCAACCCUGUCCUUAGUUACCAGCACGUUAUGGUGGGCACUCUAAGGAGACUGCCGGUGACAAACCGGAGGAAGGUGGGGAUGACGUCAAGUCAUCAUGGCCCUUACGGCCUGGGCUACACACGUGCUACAAUGGUCGGUACAAAGGGUUGCCAAGCCGCGAGGUGGAGCUAAUCCCAUAAAACCGAUCGUAGUCCGGAUCGCAGUCUGCAACUCGACUGCGUGAAGUCGGAAUCGCUAGUAAUCGUGAAUCAGAAUGUCACGGUGAAUACGUUCCCGGGCCUU